AUUGAACGCUGGCGGCAGGCUUAACACAUGCAAUUCGAGCGAUCGGCGGACGGUUGAGUAAUUUCUGGGAAACUGCCUGAUGGGGGGGGAUAACUACUGGAAACGGUAGCUAAUCCCGCAUACCAUCAGAUUUGCCCAGUGGGGAUUAGCUAGUAGGUGGGGUAAUGGCUCACCUAGGCGACGAUCCCUAGUUGGGCUGAGAGGAUGACCAGCCACACUGGAACUGAGACACGGUCCAGACUCCUAUGGGAGGCAGCAGUGGGGAAUAUUGCACAAUGGGCGAAAGCCUGAUGCAGCCAUGCCGCGUGUGUGAAGAAGGCCGUCGGGUUGUAAAGCACUUUCAGCGAGGAGGCGUUACUCGCAGAAGAAGCACCGGCUAACUCCGUGCCAGCAGCCGCGGUAAUAC
rnacentral:rRNA from 1 species